GACGAACGCUGGCGGCGUGCUUAACACAUGCAAGUCGAACGCUGAAGCUCAGCUUUUGUUGGGUGGAUGAGUGGCGAACGGGUGAGUAACACGUGAGUAACCUGCCUCCUUCUUUGGGAUAACGCCCGGAAACGGGUGCUCAUACUGGAUAUUCACUGGUCUUCGCAUGGGGGCUGGUGGAAAGGGCGUUUCUGGUGGGGGAUGGGCUCGCGGCCUAUCAGCUUGUUGGUGGGGUGAUGGCCUAACGAGGCUUUGACGGGUAGCCGGCGUGAGAGGGUGACCGGUCACAUUGGGACUGGGAUACGGCCCAGAGUACUACGGGGGGCAGAAGUGGGGAAUAUUGCACAAUGGGCGCAAGCCUGAUGCAGCGACGCCGCGUGAGGGAUGGAGGCCGUCGGGUUGUGAACCUCUUUCGCUAAUGGUCAAGCCGCAACAAUGGUUGUGGUGAGGGUAGUGGGUAAAGAAGCGCCGGCUAACUACGUG
rnacentral:rRNA from 1 species